UAAGGUUUCACAGCUUGGGCCUGCUCAUGCGCAAAAUUUAACUCAAAAACGUUGUUUUGGCGCCAAGCUGCUGUUUCUUUGAGAGAUCCUGCCUUUACCUGCUCCCUCCUAUACUGAUGUGGUGUAUGUGGUACUGCUGAGCUUGUAUGUGAUCUGAACCAUUGUAAAGGUUGCAGUUCAAGGGCCUGAGGUGGAAGCAGAAUUUGUGAGGAUUACUACUGCUGCACUUGUUCCAAGGCUUUUUGCACAACUUGACCAAUACACUGACCAGCUCAUAAAAGUCUUCAAGAAAAAAGGAGGCGCUGCAGGGAAGAAAAUUAGACCAAUUUUGGCCUCUGCCACAAAGAAGGAAACUAUUGAAAAGGGGAGGGAGGGCAGUACCUUUUUACGCGAAUGAAGACCCAAGCAUCCUCUUCAAAGAAUAAUUGCUACAGCUACAGCUGUUCAGAAGGAGCUGGAACAAAUCACCCUUGCUAUCUUCACCAUCAAAAGAGCUGAUGCCAGCACUCCUCCAGCCGAUGUAACUCACUGUUAGAGCCCUCGGCCGUGAUUUUGUAGAUGAGCAGCAGAACAACAGGCAGCAGAACCACCACCACAGAUAAACGUAUAACCAGCUCCAAGGACAAACCUGGAUGACAGACACACAGAAAC